CGGCUACACAGAGGCUAUGACACACCUCAGUCCACAUCAUAGAUAAGACAUCGACCCCCGACCUUCGGACACUUUUCCACAUCAUAACCUACGUCGAGCCCCCUCAACAUCCUCAAACCAAAAACGUAUAUAAACCGAGGCUUCAUCCAGCUCGGACGGUUCUUGUUCUAGUUACUGUUCUCAUACAACCCCUUUUCUCCAGUUCAGUGUUAUUCUUGUAAGUGUUAAAAUUUAUAAUAAAGUUUUAUAAAGGAAAAUUAGUAGUUGGGUUACAACUCAGCCUUCUUACUACAAUCCAAGUAUCAACUUUACAUGACUAGCGCAUAGUUGUCACCAAGCAGCGAGUUCUAGAAACGUCGAUUUCGGUCCGUUAUUUCAUACAUAUAUAGAAGGUGGCAGGCGUGAGCAUAGGCGCGAACGGUGGCGUGAUCCGAGCGUAGUGGGGGUCGUCUCCCAGAGAAGACAACGAAAAGGAUCGAAGGGCAAUUAGUCCCUUCUGAAGACUCUAAGAGCGCCCGU